GGGCCACCAUCAGUCUGUCCUAGCUGUUUUUUCCUUUUGGCUUCCAACACUGGGUUUUCAAACUGAGUUUUCUGGUUAAUAUGAUCGACGUAAUAUGUUCCAUACUGUGGAUCUUCUAUUUUUUCCCAUCCAUAAGGAAGUUCUCCAUCUUCACAAUCUUCAGGAGCUUUGGCUUUCUUACAGAGCCGUGGAUCGAGCCAUGUGGUUGUCUUGGUGUUGUGAUCGAUGAAGUAGAUCAUGCCAGUGUCAGUGUAGGCCAUCUCCCAGUUCUUGGGCAGAGGUUCCAGGGUUUCAUCCCUUGACAUGUAAUUUCUGAAGUCCAUGGAGCUGCUUGUCUGGUUGUAACUGGGAACAGGUUUCAUCCAGUCAGAAGAAUCUGAGUGUUUUUCUUUGUUUUCUAUCCCUCCGCUGCCAUUAACCGCUUCCUUUUCCUCCUCUUCCUCAUCUUCAGGGAGAGAACUGUCCAUCCUUUGCAUUUUGCUGACUGAUGUGGUUCUUUUCCUCUGUGAUUCAGUAUCAAAAUCAUUGUCAAAGAGAACUUGAUCCACCGGAUCAGGCUGAAAGGGGCUGGGCUCUGCUGGAGGCUUCGGAGUACCAUAAAAAUUACCAUCAUACGUUCCACUUUCUAGCAAGG
rnacentral:lncRNA from 1 species